AGAAUCAACGCUGGCGGCGUGCCUCAGACAUGCAAGUCGAACGAUUAAAGCUCUCUUCGGAGAGUGUAUAGAGUGGCGCACGGGUGAGUAACACGUAAGUAAUCUACCCUCGAGUGGGGAAUAACGUCCGGAAACGGACGCUAAUACCGCAUAAUGCAGCGGCACCGCAAGGUGACAGUUGUUAAAGAUUUAUCGCUUGAGGAGGAGCUUGCGGCAGAUUAGCUAGUUGGUAAGGUAAUGACUUACCAAGGCUACGAUCUGUAACCGGUCUAAGAGGACGGUCGGUCACACUGACACUGAAUAACGGGUCAGACUCCUACGGGAGGCAGCAGUCGGGAAUUUUGGGCAAUGGGACGGAAAGCCUAGACCCAGACCAACGCCGCGUAGAAGGAUGAAGUAUUUCGGUAUAGUAACUUACGAAGAA
rnacentral:rRNA from 1 species